rnacentral:rRNA from 1 species
GACAGAGGGGGCAAGCGUUGCUCGGAAUUACUGGGCGUAAAGGGCGCGUAGGCGGGAUGGCAAGUCGGUCGUGAAAUCCCUCGGCUCAACCGAGGAACGUCGAUCGAUACUGCUGUUCUUGAGGAUUGCAGAGGAGACUGGAAUUCCUGGUGUAGCGGUGAAAUGCGUAGAUAUCUGGAGGAACACCGGUGGCGAAGGCGGCAUCCUGGACCGGUAUUGACGCUGAGGCGCGAAAGCCAGGGGAGCAAACAGG